CAGUGGCGAGGGACAGAUGCUGUAGCGUUAGCUGGGGAGAAGAUGGGCGGGGUUGGGAGGUGGGAAUGGGGCGGGAAAGAAAGAGGAGGAGCUCAGCGGGUGACCAAAGAGAUUUAGGAACUACCGACCAUUCUGUUUUUUCUUCUGUGCUUGAUGUGGGCAUGGGAUUCAACAGAGAAUUUGAGUCUUCUCCUGUGUGACUAAGCCCAUUAAGAAACUAAACCAAUCAGACCAAAAUCUCACAAAGCAGGAAGCGCUUCUGAAGUAAAGUCUUAACAAGACUAAGAGAAAAGGAAUACCCAGAAGCACGGCCUAAUUGAGGGAUUUAGCUCAGCGGCACAGCGCCUGCCUGGCAAGGGAAAGGUCCGGAGUUCCCAGAACCAUGGAGAGAGAGUGAAGAAAGUUCCAAUCAGCUCCUUGCACUUCAUCAAUGCUCACCCCAAGUACCACAUCUGGUCAAAGGUCACAUAUACACACACCCUCAUAUCCGGGCAGAGGAGAAGCCAAACCCUUGCUAGUUGUGGGCUUCUCUCCUCGUUCUUUAAAUAAAAAGGCCACUAUAUAUA